UGGGGAAUAUUGCACAAUGGAGGGAACUCUGAUGCAGCGACGCCGCGUGAACGAAGAAGGCUUUCGAGUCGUAAAGUUCUUUUAUAUGGGAAGAUAAUGACGGUACCAUAAGAAAAAGCCCCGGCUAACUACGUGCCAGCAGCCGCGGUAAUGCGUAGGGGGCUAGCGUUGUCCGGAAUCACUGGGCGUAAAGGGUUCGCAGGCGGAAAUGCAAGUCAGGUGUAAAAGGCAGUAGCUUAACUACUGUAAGCAUUUGAAACUGCAUAUCUUGAGAAGAGUAGAGGUAAGUGGAAUUUUUAGUGUAGCGGUGAAAUGCGUAGAUAUUAAAAAGAAUACCGGUGGCGAAGGCGACUUACUGGGCUCAUUCUGACGCUGAGGAACGAAAGCGUGGGUAGCAAACAGG
rnacentral:rRNA from 2 species